GCACCAGGGGGCCCUCAUCCUGGCUCCUUACUGUCUUGUACAUACAGUAAGGCAACCAGAGUGGAGGCAGGCUGGGAAUAUGCACCCACACCCUCCCUGGAAGGAAGAGAAGGAAGGAAGUUUGCAGUGGCGGUAUUAAACAAGUGCAGUAAAUGCAAGUGCUGCAGUUGCCAGGAGCAUGCAUUAUUUUCUCUUUCCUCCAGUCCUUCUGGAGCAAGCCAUAAAGAAUUGAUGAAGAGAGAAACUGUGUCCAAGGCAAUUGAGCAAACACUGUCUGCAUGGAGUCUUCCCAGACCACUGGUUACAGCUGAAUCAAGACAGAAUGAGUUUAGAGAUGUACAUCAAGGCAUCUCCCGCCUCAGACACCUCCAAAGCAUUCCUCAGCUGCCAGGGAAGAGCGUCUCAGUCAUGGUGAACACUGAUAAUUAAAGUCAACAUCUCAGCACAUUGAGUCAAUUUCUCGAAAGUCUUUUUUUCAACACCAGAAACCUCCGAUACCAUGGUCCUCUCUUGGUCCUGACCUGACCAUUUUCCAAGUGAUGACCAUUUUCCAAGUGAGGGUAAGGAGCUGCCUAUGGUUGUCAUGGCUACUGAGUGUGCAUUGAACUGUCCCAUGUUUGAUCAUACAUGAAGAAAUAUGAAUCCCGUUUCACCCGAGCAGUGUGAUCCUUGAACCUCCAACUCCUUCUGUGAAGAAGUCACAGAGCCCUGU